GGGUACAUAGCUCAAUGGUAGAGCACGUGCUUAGCAUGCACAGGGUCCUGGGUUCAAUCCCCAGUACCUCCA
rnacentral:tRNA from 1 species